rnacentral:snRNA from 9 species
AUAUUACUUGGGUAGAGUCAAUCGAUAAUCAAGAAGGUUGAUGGGUUGACAAGAGUGCACACCAUCCAUUGCACUUGGGAUGGGGUCUUCCUAUCAUCUCCCAUUGAGGAGAGUGCAUUGCAUAAGUUGUGGUAGAGGGGCCUUGCAUUCUCAUGGCCUCA